CCUACGGGAGGCAGCAGUGGGGAAUAUUGCACAAUGGGCGCAAGCCUGAUGCAGCCAUGCCGCGUGUGUGAAGAAGGCCUCCGGGUUGUAAAGCACUUUCAGCGGGGAGGAAGGCGAUAAGGUUAAUAACCUUGUCGAUUGACGUUACCCGCAGAAGAAGCACCGGCUAACUCCGUGCCAGCAGCCGCGGUAAUACGGAGGGUGCAAGCGUUAAUCGGAAUUGCUGGGCGUAAAGCGCACGCAGGCGGUCUGUCAAGUCGGAUGUGAAGUCCCCGGGCUCAACCUGGGAACUGCAUUCGAAACUGGCAGGCUAGAGUCUUGUAGAGGGGGGUAGAAUUCCAGGUGUAGCGGUGAAAUGCGUAGAGAUCUGAAGGAAUACCGGUGGCGAAGGCGGCCCCCUGGACAAAGACUGACGCUCAGGUGCGAAAGCGUGGGGCGCAAACAGGAUUAGAUACCCGCGUAGUC
rnacentral:rRNA from 1 species